GGCGACGAUGGGUAGCCGGCCUGAGAGGGUGAACGGCCACACUGGAACUGAGACACGGUCCAGACUCCUACGGGAGGCAGCAGUGGGGAAUAUUGCACAAUGGGGGAAACCCUGAUGCAGCGACGCCGCGUGAGCGAAGAAGGUCUUCGGAUCGUAAAGCUCUGUCCUAAAGGAAGAUAAUGACGGUACUUUGGGGGAGG
rnacentral:rRNA from 1 species